UGAGUAAGCCAGAUGAUCGCUGCUAUUGAAAAAUAGAAGAGGAAAGUCCGAGCUCCGCAGGGCAGGGUGCUGGUUAACUCCCAGUGAGGGUGACCUUAAGGAAAGUGCAACAGAGAGAUACCGCUGACAAUUUUGUCAGUAAGGGUGGAAAGGCGAGGUAAGAGCUCACCAGCAUAUUGGCGACUUUAUGGCUAUGUAAACCCCACCUGGUGCAAGGCCGAAUAGGGGGACAGAUGGAGCGGCCCGUUCCGUCCCCGGGUGUGCCGCUUGAACUUGUGAGAAAUCACAGGUCUAGACAGAUGAUCAUCAAAUACAGAACUCGGCUUACAGACUUACUCAGGAC
rnacentral:RNase_P_RNA from 1 species